GAAAAAGAAAGCCUGCUACUGUGUGGUUUGAGGAUUCAGUAGUACCUAGAUAGCCCUCAUUAAUAACUGUGGUUGCCGUCACCCAUUCCCCUUCCCAGGAAGUGAAUUUUUCAGCUGCCAGAACUGUGAGGCUGUGGCAGGGUGCUCAUCGGGGCUGGACUCCUUGGUUCCUGGGGACGAAGACAAACCCUAUAAGUGUCAGCUGUGCCGGUCUUCGUUCCGCUACAAGGGCAACCUUGCCAGUCACCGUACAGUGCACACAGGGGAAAAGCCUUACCACUGCUCAAUCUGCGGAGCCCGUUUUAACCGGCCAGCAAACCUGAAAACGCACAGCCGCAUCCAUUCGGGAGAGAAGCCGUACAAGUGUGAGACGUGCGGCUCGCGCUUUGUACAGAGGUGGCACAUCUGCGGGCGCACGUGCUGAUCCACACCGGGGAGAAGCCCUACCCUUGCCCUACCUGCGGAACCCGCUUCCGCCACCUGCAGACCCUCAAGAGCCACGUUCGCAUCCACACCGGAGAGAAGCCUUACCACUGCGACCCCUGUGGCCUGCAUUUCCGGCACAAGAGUCAACUGCGGCUGCAUCUGCGCCAGAAACACGGAGCUGCUACCAACACCAAAGUGCACUACCACAUUCUCGGGGGGCCCUAGCUGAGCGCAGGCCCAGACCCCACUUGCUUCCUGCGGGUGGGAAAGCUGCAGGCCCAGGCCUUGCUUCCCUAUCAGGCUUGGGCAUAGGGGUGUGCUAGGCCACUUUGGUGUCAGAAAUUGCCACCAUCUUAAUUUCUCACUGGGGAGAGCAGGGGUGGCAGAUCCUGGCUAGAUCUGCCUCUGUUUUGCUGGUCAAAACCUCAUCCCCACAAGCCAGAUUGUUUCUGAGGAGAGAGCUAGCUAGGGGCUGGGAAAGGGGAGAGAUUGGAGUCCUGGUCUCCCUAAGGGAAUAGCCCUCCACCUGUGGCCCCCAUUGCAUUCAGUUUAUCUGUAAAUAUAAUUUAUUGAGGCCUUUGGGUGGCACCAGGGCCUUCAUUCGAUUGCAUUUCCCACUCCCCUCUUCCACAAGUGUGAUUAAAAGUGACCAGAAACACAGAAGGUGAG
rnacentral:lncRNA from 1 species